AUUAAACGCUGGCGGCAUGCCUUACACAUGCAAGUCGAACGGCAGCACGGGGGCAACCCUGGUGGCGAGUGGCGGACGGGUGAGUAAAGCAUCGGAACGUAUCCUGGAGUGGGGGAUAACGUAGCGAAAGUUACGCUAAUACCGCAUAUUCUGUGAGUAGGAAAGCAGGGGAUCGCAAGACCUUGCGCUCUGGGAGCGGCCGAUGUCGGAUUAGCUAGUUGGUGGGGUAAAGGCCUACCAAGGCGACGAUCCGUAGCGGGUCUGAGAGGAUGAUCCGCCACACUGGGACUGAGACACGGCCCAGACUCCUACGGGAGGCAGCAGUGGGGAAUUUUGGACAAUGGGCGGAAGCCUGAUCCAGCCAUGCCGCGUGAGUGAAGAAGGCCU
rnacentral:rRNA from 1 species